GACGAACGCUGGCGGCGCGCCUAACACAUGCAAGUCGAACGAGCGAGCGAGAGCUUGCUUUCUCGAGCGAGUGGCGAACGGGUGAGUAACGCGUGAGGAACCUGCCUCAAAGAGGGGGACAACAGUUGGAAACGACUGCUAAUACCGCAUAAGCCCACGGCUCGGCAUCGAGCAGGGGGAAAAGGAGCAAUCCGCUUCGAGAUGGCCUCGCGUCCGAUUAGCUAGUUGGUGGGGUAACGGCCCACCAAGGCGACGAUCGGUAGCCGGACUGAGAGGUUGAACGGCCACAUUGGGACUGAGACACGGCCCAGACUCCUACGGGAGGCAGCAGUGGGGAAUAUUGCACAAUGGGGGAAACCCUGAUGCAGCGACGCCGCGUGGAGGAAGAAGGUCUUCGGAUUGUAAACUCCUGUUGUUGGGGAAGAUAAUGACGGUACCCAACAAGGAAGUGACGGCUAACUACGUG
rnacentral:rRNA from 1 species